rnacentral:rRNA from 1 species
GAGUUUGAUCCUGUUCAGGACAAACGCUGGCGGCGUGCUUAACACAUGCAAGUCGAACGGUAAGGCCCCUUCGGGGUACACGAGUGGCGAACGGGUGAGUACACGUGGGUAAUCUGCCCUGCACUUCGGGAUAAGCCUGGGAAACUGGGUCUAAUACCGGAUAUGAACUCCUGCCGCAUGGUGGGGGUUGGAAAGUUUUUCGGUGCAGGAUGAGCCCGCGGCCUAUCAGCUUGUUGGUGGGGUAAUGGCCUACCAAGGCGACGACGGGUAGCCGGCCUGAGAGGGCGAUCGGCCACACUGGGACUGAGACACGGCCCAGACUCCUACGGGAGGCAGCAGUGGGGAAUAUUGCACAAUGGGCGAAAGCCUGAUGCAGCGACGCCGCGUGGGGGAUGACGGUCUUCGGAUUGUAAACCCCUUUCAGUAGGGACGAAGCGCAAGUGACGGUACCUGCAGAAGAAGCACCGGCUAACUACGUGCCAGCAGCCGCGGUAAUACGUACGU